rnacentral:misc_RNA from 1 species
CAACCCAUCAAGCCUGGCUUGGUAUUGGGCCGCGUCCCCCGUGGACGGACCCUAAAGACUUUGGCUGCGGUGACCGAACCCUAAGCGUAGUUAAACUUUUAGCUUUGUGGUUUCGGCGUCGUGUCGCCACGAGAACCCCAUCACCUUAU